ACAAAGAGUAAUUGAAUGUGGGUCGUUGUGUUGAUGACAUCAGGAGGGAACGAGUUAUUUCCCAUUUGUGCUGUGAACACCAUAGACAAUGAGAAACCACCCACAUUCAAUUGCAUGGCUUGGAUGAAAUAUCCUGAUUGGUUCUCCCCUAUUCCUCCUCAGGGUUGUGAUUGUAUUGGUGGAUGCUUGGACUCUCAGAAAUGCUCAUGUGUACUCAAGAAUGGAGGCGAGAUACCAUACAACUACAACGGUGCUAUCGUAGAAUCAAAGACUCUGGUCUAUGAGUGUGGUCCUUCUUGCAAGUGCCCUCCUUCGUGCUACAAUAGAGUCAGCCAGCAUGGCAUCAAAAUUCAGCUUGAAAUCUUCAAAACAGAGUCAAGGGGUUGGGGUGUUAGAUCCCUAACUUCUAUUCCUUCAGGAAGUUUUAUAUGUGAGUAUAUUGGGGAGCUUCUCGAGGACGCGGAAGCUGAAAAAAGACACAAUGAUGAGUAUUUGUUUGACAUUGGACAAAAUUACUGCGAUUGUUCUGUUAUGGAUGAACUUUCUACUCUCAAGCCUGAUGCACAAUCAACUCCUAAUGAGGUUGUGGAGGAUGGUUUCACCAUUGAUGCUGCGGAAUGUGCAAAUGUGGGCAGGUUUGUUAACCACAGCUGUUCCCCUAAUCUUUAUGCUCAGAAUGUCCUCUAUGAUCACGAGGACAAGAAAAUGCCCCACAUAAUGUUCUUUGCUGCAGAGAAUAUUCCACCCUUACAGGAGCUGACUUACCACUAUAAUUAUUCAGUGGAUGAGAUUCGUGAUUCGAAUGGCAAUAUUAAGAAGAAGAACUGCUAUUGUGGUUCUGAGGAGUGCACUGGCAGAAUGUAUUGAGGCCGACAGAAAAAUUUGGGUUCUCGGGUAGGGAUUCCUUUUCUCUUAAUAUGCAAAGCUUGAUUUUGAUGAAAGCAGACGAGGAGAAUGAUGGAAAGGUUUGGAUCAUAUUUUGAGGUGCUGGGAUCUCCAAUAUCAGUUUUGACAAUGUUUUUCUCAAUUUGUUUACUGGACAACACAUUUUAUGGUUAGAUAUGGAGUGCCUUGACACAGUGUGGUUAGUCCUGUAGACUUGGCAGUAAUUUUUUCCAGACUACGAGGUGGACUACUACUCCCAUCCUCUGUAGGUCAGAUCACUACACCCACCAUGAAAUGAAUUAUCUGCUGUAUAUGCUGUUUAUUGAAUUAUUUGUAUGUUUGUUACUGAAUUAGCGAUUCCAGAGAAGAAAUCCAAAAAUGUUAAACUUGGUAACCUUCAUAUGGUACUGUUCUUGUCCCAAGGGAGAAAAAAAUGUAAUCUUCUGUGCCUUUCCCUGUAGUUUUUUUGAUUUAGCAUUUUUUGGAAUUUGUACAUAUGAAUCUGGUGACAAAUAAGUUAUGAAAUAGGUGACUGGUUGUUUGUGAAGGUUUCA